CAACAGCAGAUUCAGGAAGGGCA
rnacentral:siRNA from 1 species